ACAGUACAAACUGAGCAGGCGAUGCCCGAGAUGCUCGAGGGCGUGGGGCCGGGCCGCGCGAAGU
rnacentral:ncRNA from 1 species